rnacentral:rRNA from 1 species
UACGGAGGGUGCAAGCGUUAUCCGGAUUCACUGGGUUUAAAGGGCUCGUAGGCGGCCAACUAAGUCAGACGUGAAAUCCCUCGGCUUAACCGGGGAACUGCGUCUGAUACUGGUUGGCUUGAGUGUGGGAGAGGGAUGCGGAAUUCCAGGUGUAGCGGUGAAAUGCGUAGAUAUCUGGAGGAACACCGGUGGCGAAGGCGGCAUCCUGGACCAUUACUGACGCUGAGGAGCGAAAGCCAGGGGAGCAAACGGG